CAAUAGCGUAUAUUAAUGUUGUUGCAGUUAAAAAGCUCGUAGUUGGAUUUCUGGUGGGAACGCCGGUCCGGCUCCGCAAGGGGUCGUGAAUUGGUUUCUCCUGCCAUCCUCAGGGGGAGCUGCGCUGGUAUUCAUUUAUCGGUGUAGUCACGCCUGUCGUUUACUGUGAACAAAUUAGAGUGUUCAAAGCAAGGUGUACUUGAAUACAUUAGCAUGGAAUAAUAAGAUAGGACUUUGGUGGUUCUUUUUUGAUAUUUUGUUGGUUUGCACGCCAAAGUAAUGAUUAAUAGGAGCAGUUGGGGGUAUUCGUAUUCAAUUGUCAGAGGUGAAAUUCUUGGAUUUAUAGAAGACGAACUACUGCGAAAGCAUUUACCAAGGAUGUUUUCAUUAA
rnacentral:rRNA from 1 species